rnacentral:lncRNA from 1 species
GUUUGCCCUUAAUGUUCAAAGUAUGGUCGGUAGAAUGGUAGGAACUUAUGUCUACUUUUGUAUAUUAACAGUAGCUAGUCCAAAUAGAUGUUGGUUUAUCAAGAUUCCAUGAAAACAUGAUGCAUGCACUGCACUAGGAUCAAUUUAUUUCUUCUAUCACCAAUUCAUCAUGACCUAGCACACCAUAAAGACUUGGUAAAAAAGUACAAAAUACAAAGACACGCAUAUGCACGAGAUCUAUUAAGCAGUGACAGCGAUCUUCAUGCCUUGCUGGCAGUGACCCGGAAGGCUGCAGAUGAAGAACGCUUUGCCUCCGUGGGAGAGCUGGAUGUGGUCAUUGCCGGAGGUGUAGGUCCUCGACGGGCCCGAGACCCUGCAUGAGUUGUAGUCGCCUUCUCCCACCUGCACCACAUUGUGCAUACCCGGGUUGUACUUGAACACUGCGUGCAUUAGUUAACACAAGAAUACAUAUCAGAACACAGUAUAUACAUCAAGAACAACCAAUCACUUGAUCUUUAGAGUUCUCACCAAGCACGUCACCGGACUGGAUGUGCUUGCCACUCUCCCAUCCGGAGACGCCGAAGCUCCAUCCCUUGUUGUCACCAACGGUCCACUCCUUGCCAUGGACGACGGUGGUUGCGCAGCAAACGACCAGAAGCAGCACCAAAAGGGUGGGUACCAUGGUUGCCCGAGCCAUUGAUGGUGUUGCUCUUGACUUCUUGUUGAUACCGAAGAUCACAAGAAUAGAAAAGUGAAAUAGUGGUCGAUUCCUCAAGUGACGGCUUGCGUUCGGUCACCUUCUCGUAUGAUAUAUAUAGGCGGUCAACUAAAAUCAUUGUUUUAAUGUGCUCAAAUAAUGAGAAUCUUGCCUUAAAUAAGACAAAUCAAUAUAUGUGAUAUGCAACAUUAGUUAGUAUAUGCUACGAAAUCCUCCAACUUAUAUAAUCCGAUCUUGGAUUAGUGGAAAUGAACGAGGCAUUUAUUUCCUACUUUCACGAUUUAGUAAAUAUUUCUUUUUCCUGGAUGCAUUAGUUGUAUAUCAGAUAUUUAUAUAUACUAGUAUUAGAUGAUAUAAUUGUAACAAGAAAAUUUUAAAAUACAAAAUUCUUUUUUAUAAGGAGAAGUCCCUAAUCUUGACUUUUAAACCAUAGCUGCUAAAGCGAUUGGAGGCCAUGAUUUGCGAUUGUUUAGUCUAAAAUAAUUUGAAGUUGAUAGGAAUAUUUUUAAUAAAUGGAUUUCAAAUGAAUUUAAGAAGUUGGAAAAUCGAAUGCAUUAGGUUCAUAUAAGAAUUUUAGGCUAGGUUAAUUUGGAACCAUUGAAAAAGAAAAGAGCCCCGAUUGGUUAACAAAGCAGUAAACCCGAGGAGAUUCAGAAGGAUCUAACUGAGAGGAAAAUUUGUGAGACUUAUCAAGAACUUGUAGCCACUUGGGACAGAGACGAUGACCUUAAGGGCGCCCUCCGUGAAAACUCCGCAGCUACUCCUGAUCGACGAAAUUAGCCCUAAACUAACCAUCCUCGCACAAAUUGGAAUGAACUACUUAUAACCCUCAAGUAUAGGGGAUCGCGAUAGUGUUCAAGGGUAUUAUUUCACCCAAAUCUAUUUAUUCAACACAAGGGGAGCCAAAGAAUAUUUAUGAGCCUUAGCAGUUGAGUUGUCAAUUCAACCACACCUGGGAAAUUAUAUUUCUGCAACAAAGUGUUUAGUAACAUGGUAGUUUGAUAGUUUUGAUAGUAGCAGUAACAGUAGCAAUAGUAACAGGAACAGUAACAAUAGCAGUUUGUGAUGAUUGUAACAACAACAACAAUAGUAACUUAGCAAAUACCAAUAUGAGAAAAGCAUAGGAAUUGGGUCAGGCGAUGCAUAUUUGUGUUGGAUGACACUCAUCAUAUAGCAGUCACAACCUAGAGUGAUACACAAUAGCUCCAAUUCGUCAAUGUAAUAUAGGCAUGUAUUCCGUAUAUAGUCAUACACGCUUAUAAUAAGAAAUUGCAUGACAUCUUUUGUCCUACCUUCCCGUGGCAACGGGGUCCGUAAGGAAACUAAGAGAUAUUAAGGCCUCCUUGCAAUAAUGAACCGGAACAAAACAUUACCACAUGGUGAAUACAUGAACUCCUCGAAUUACAGUCAUUCCCAGAGAGUAUCCCAAUUAUUGUCACUUUGGGGUCUAAGGACCAGAACAAUAACAAGAGCAUAUAACUAGCAGAUAGGAUCAGGAACUCAAAUAUUUUCAUGAAAACAUAGAGGGUUCAUAUCUGAAAUCAUGGUACUCGGGUCCUAGUGAGAAGCAUUAAGCAUAUCAAAGUCAUAGCAAUAUCAAUCUCGGAACAUAGUGGAACUAGGGAUCAAGCCCUAACAAAUUGAAUCGAUUACAUGACAAAUCUCAUGCAACUCCAUCACCGUCCAGCAAUCCUAUGAAGCAAUUACUCACUCCCGGUGGUGAGCAUCAUGGAAUUGUUGAUGAUGAUGACGACGACGAAUCCCGCUCUUCGGAGCCCCGAACAAACUCAUCAGCCCUCCGAAUGAAGAACAGGAGGUGUCGGCAGCUCCGUCUCGCAAAACAUGAUGAAACUUUCUCUCAGAUUUUUCUCUCCGUGAGACGAUAUUUAUGGAGUUGGAAUUAGGGCAAACGGAGGCUUGUGGGGCCCAUGAGCUCACAAGGCGCUCCUUGGGAGGGAUUUGGUGGGCAUGCCCCCUGAGCUCAUGGUUCCUGAGUGGCCCCCUCUAGUAGGUCUCUUCGCCAAUAUUUUUCAUAUUUUUCAGAAAUAAUCUCUGUAAAAUUUCAGCCCAAUCUGAGAGCUUUUAUUUCCGCACAAAAAUAAGACCAUGACGAUUCUACUGAAAAAAGCGUCAAUCCAGGUUAGUUUUAUUCAAAUCAUGCAAAUUAGAGUCCAAAACAAGAGGAAAAGUGUUUGGAAAAGUAGAUACGUUUGGGAUUAUCAACUCCCCAAGAUUAUCUCAUUGCUUGUCCUCAAGGAAUUUAGUAGAUAAACUGAAAGUGAUAAAGAAAAACUUCUACAAAGUCUUUUGUUCUCGAUGUUGUAUAGAUGCGUAACUAGUGUUCAAUUUUUCAGUAAAGAUUAUGAACUAACCACAUGAAUGAUAACACUUAGGUCUCAUUUUUACUCAUGACAAUAGCGCAACCAACUAAUGAGCAAUAAUAAGAUAUCUCGGAUGCCAACAAUUUGUCAAAAUAAUUAAGAUAUACUAUAUCACUAAGCUCCCUAGGAUUGGAGGCUUCAUGUGAUGCCCGGAUAAUUAAGCUACAGUAAACCCCUGCUAAUGAUCCCAGGUCAUCACAUUACUGUUGCUAAUCCUCCCUUGAUCCAAAUCUUAGUUCAAACUCAAAUUUAAAUUAAAGCCCAGAAUUCAAAUUUCUCAAACACGCAAAAUAAAAUGUUCAAAGUGUGGCAAAUAUUGCAUAACGAAUUAUGGUGGUGACCCAACACUUUUGUAAAGUAUUUAGAUGCCCUUUUGUGAAUAUAACAGUGACUAAAACAACCACAUUAGUCUUAUUACUUUUGUAAAAAAAAAUCAAAUGAAUUCAAUUAUUACCCCAACCAUUUCUGGCCGUGUAUAAAUAAGCAAUGCUAAUUAUGGACCAAGUUCUAUGUUUUAUAAAACUAGUUUACUACUAAAAAUAAAAGUAAAGCAGAAAAGAAAAUAGUAAAAACAAAGAAAAUAAAAGGAAUAAAAAGCCCCCUCCCCCUCACUGCCAUGGGCCUCAGUCCACAGUGGCAGGCCUCAGCCCAACCGCCAAACCCCCACCCUCGGUCGCCUUCUACUGCUCGACCGACCGCUCGGUCGCGGUCGCCACCCGACCGGCUCGCCAGCUUUGUCGGCGAGGGGAUAAGAUCCCCCGACGCCUCGACCCCCUCGUCCCCCUGCCCCAUUCGCCCCACUCCCCUCUCUCCUCCUCGCGCCCCCUUCCCAGAUCCACUCGUCCCUUUCCCCUCGCUGUUCUCUACGCGAGCGCCUNNNNNNNNNNNNNNNNNNNNNNNNNNNNNNNNNNNNNNNNNNNNNNNNNNNNNNNNNNNNNNNNNNNNNNNNNNNNNNNNNNNNNNNNNNNNNNNNNNNNNNNNNNNNNNNNNNNNNNNNNNNNNNNNNNNNNNNNNNNNNNNNNNNNNNNNNNNNNNNNNNNNNNNNNNNNNNNNNNNNNNNNNNNNNNNNNNNNNNNNNNNNNNNNNNNNNNNNNNNNNNNNNNNNNNNNNNNNNNNNNNNNNNNNNNNNNNNNNNNNNNNNNNNNNNNNNNNNNNNNNNNNNNNNNNNNNNNNNNNNNNNNNNNNNNNNNNNNNNNNNNNNNNNNNNNNNNNNNNNNNNNNNNNNNNNNNNNNNNNNNNNNNNNNNNNNNNNNNNNNNNNNNNNNNNNNNNNNNNNNNNNNNNNNNNNNNNNNNNNNNNNNNNNNNNNNNNNNNNNNNNNNNNNNNNNNNNNNNNNNNNNNNNNNNNNNNNNNNNNNNNNNNNNNNNNNNNNNNNNNNNNNNNNNNNNNNNNNNNNNNNNNNNNNNNNNNNNNNNNNNNNNNNNNNNNNNNNNNNNNNNNNNNNNNNNNNNNNNNNNNNNNNNNNNNNNNNNNNNNNNNNNNNNNNNNNNNNNNNNNNNNNNNNNNNNNNNNNNNNNNNNNNNNNNNNNNNNNNNNGUUGCCCCUUGCCGCUGCAGCCGCGCCAUCGCGCGCCGCGUCGUUCCCCCACCCGCGUCCCUCCUCCUCGCCGGAGGCCACCCGCCCCGGGGCCGCCACCGGCCGCAGCCAUGGCUUCGCCGGCCCUGCUGGGUGAGCGCCGACCCCCGGCGCGCUUAUUAACCCGCCCCGCUAGGCCACUUGCCUAUGUCAGGUGGGGCCCAACCCCCCCUUAAAAAGAAAUUAAAAAUAUUUUUUAAGAAAAAAUUAAAAUAAUUAAUUAGUUAAUUAAUUAAUUAGUUGGGUAAUUAAUUAACUUAAUUAACCUUGCUUAAUUAGCCUAAUGAACUAGAUUAGUCUAAUUAAACCUGCUCAAUUAGUUGAGUCAAUGACAGAUGGGCCCCACCCCCUGUUGACCAAUCAAACGUUGACUGGUCAACUGGGACCCCCUGGACCCGCAUGUCACCCUCUGGUACACCUCGGUGUACACAGAUCUGGGUGCACAUAGCAUUUUACUUAUUUAAUUUUGAAUUAAUAACAAAUUCAAAAUAUUGUUUAAAUCUUUGAAAAAUCCUAGAAAAUAAUCCAUAACUCGGAUGAAAAAGUUUUAUACAUGAAAGUUGCUCAGAAAAAUGUGGCGACUCCGAAUACGCAGUCCGUUCAUCUGUCACGCAUCCCUAGCAUAGAGAACAUGCAACCUUUCCCCUCCGUUUCAUUUGUCCAAAAAUGCCUAACUCCGGGGAAACUUUUCGGACGUUAUCCCCCUUCGCCGGUACCGGGUAACAUCGUGUUAGAACACCCCUAGCGCUGCUUAUUGCCUUGUCAUGCUUAGUAUUGCACUUGUUUGCCCUGUAUUUACUGUGUUUUCCCCCUCUUCUCUCCGGUAGACCCCGAGACCGCUGCUGAUGCCCCUGUGAUCGACUACGUCGACGACGACCCUUCUCCCCUUUCAUCGGAGCUUCCAGGCAAGCCCCCCUUUGAUCAUCCCGAUAUCGCCCAUUCCAUUCUCUCAUGCUUGCAUUAGAUUUUGCUACUGUUAUUGUUUGCUCCUAUUCUGAUGCAUAGCCUGCUUUUGUACCUGCUAUUGUUACCUACCUGCUUGUCCUAAACUGCUUAGUAUAGGUUGGUUAGAGAUCCAUCAGUGACCCCCACUUGUCCUUGUUGCCCCUGCUUCAUCAUCGACGCCUCGAUCAACGUGAUCGACGACCAGAGCCUGACACCUCACAUCACAUCACGCCCCUUUAGUUGCUCGACUCUGCAGAGAUACUAUCGAGUGCCGAGGGUGAUCCCUCAUAACGCACUCCUGAUGAUAAUUCUGUAGUGUAGCUAUUCGGUCGUGGUCAACGGGGGUGGUUCCUCUUUCACCAUUCCUGAUACGGCUCUGUCGUGCAACACCUCAAGUGUGAACCUCGAGGGUGGUCCCUCUUACGUUCACCUUGAUGUUUACAUUGAGUGGAAUCCACCGGGGGUGAUUCCUGGUUUUCUUCCUUGAUGUUUUGGACACACUAUUACCUUGACUUUACUUGAGACCAUUGUUGAAGUCGGGUCGGCCCUGGAGAGCACCCGUGCGAUGUGAAAGUGGCGGCUGGCUGUUUAGCGGUAUCACCCAGGAAGGGGUGAUAGUUCCGGACUUGUCCCGACAGCCGUCACUACUUUAAUUGUUAAUGCACUAACUGGUUUGGGUAUUUGUUCUGAAUUGGCCUUUGGCCUUUGCGCACUAACCACCACGCGAGAAUAGUUAUGGGCCUCGACGUCGCAGUAUCAGCCGAAGCUUUGUCAGACGUCCAUUUCAGCUUUGCGGCACGGCUGGGCCGGCACCAUCCCGUAGUGGUGGAGCCUGGACCCGCCCUGCAUGUAACGACCCGGAGUGCAACGAGCGAUGGGCCCAGACCCCGGAGUGCUUAGGAUGUAGACCGGCGGGGACCUCUCUGCUGAGCCUAGGUAGGGUUGCGACGUGUUGAUCUUCUGAGGCCGGGCAUUGACCCCAGAAAGGUGUGUCCGGCCAGAGUGAUCGAGCGUGUUGGAAAACAUGGUGCACCCCUGCAGGGAAGAUAUAUAUUCGAAUACCGUGUCCACGGUAAUGGACGUUCAGACUUGUAUCCUGAUCUUAUACAACUAGAAAUGGAUACUUGAUAUGUGAUGGAUAUGUGGCCCCGGGAUUGCUUUCUCGUAGGGAGUCGAGGAAGGAUCUCUGGGCGUUAAUGCUACGACAUGUUUGUUAAAUAUAAACUACUAUUCUUUACUCGUCUACAUGCUGCAAGAUGCUUGGAGCUACUUGAAGAUGCUAGUCUUCGAUAGGCUAGGCCUUCCCCCCUAUUCUUGUUGGAAAUAUGCCCUAGAGGCAAUAAUAAAUGGUUAUUAUUAUAUUUCUUUGUUCAUGAUAAUCGUCUAUUGUUCAUGCUAUAAUUGUAUUGUCCGGAAAUCGUAAUACAUGUGUGAAUGCAUAGACCACAACGUGUCCCUAGUAAGCCUCUAGUUGACUAGCUCGUUGAUCAACAGAUAGUCAUGGUUUCCUGACUAUGGACAUUGGAUGUCAUUGAUAACGGGAUCACAUCAUUAGGAGAAUGAUGUGAUGGACAAGACCCAAUCCUAAGCAUAGCAUAAAAGAUCGUGUAGUUUCGUUUGCUAGUGCUUUUCCAAUGUCAAGUAUCUUUUCCUUAGACCAUGAGAUCGUGCAACUCCCGGAUACCGUAGGAGUGCUUUGGGUGUGCCAAACGUCACAACGUAACUGGGUGACUAUAAAGGUGCACUACGGGUAUCUCCGAAAGUGUCUGUUGGGUUGGCACGGAUCGAGACUGGGAUUUGUCACUCCGUGUGACGGAGAGGUAUCUCUGGGCCCACUCGGUAAUGCAUCAUCAUAAUGAGCUCAAUGUGACUAAGGCGUUAGUCAUGGGAUCAUGCAUUGCGGUACGAGUAAAGAGACUUGCCGGUAACGAGAUUGAACAAGGUAUUGGGAUACCGACGAUCGAAUCUCGGGCAAGUAACAUACCGAUUGACAAAGGGAAUUGCAUACGGGAUUGAUUGAAUCCUCGACACCGUGGUUCAUCCGAUGAGAUCAUCGUGGAACAUGUGGGAGCCAACAUGGGUAUCCAGAUCCCGCUGUUGGUUAUUGACCGGAGAGGCGUCUCGGUCAUGUCUGCAUGUCUCCCGAACCCGUAGGGUCUACACACUUAAGGUUCGGUGACGCUAGGGUUGUAGAGAUAUGUGUAUGCGGAAACCCGAAAGUUGUUCGGAGUCCCGGAUGAGAUCUCGGACGUCACGAGAGGUUCCGGAAUGGUCCGGAGGUGAAGAAUUAUAUAUAGGAAGUCAAGUUUCGGCCACCGGGAAAGUUUCGGGGGUUACCGGUAUUGUACCGGGACCACCGGAAGGGUCCCGGGGGUCCACCGGGUGGGGCCACCUAUCCCGGAGGGCCCCGUGGGCUGAAGUGGGAAGGGAACCAGCCCUAGUGGUCUGGGCGCCCCCCAUGGGCCUUCCCCCCAUGCGCCUAGGGUUGGGAACCCUAGGGUGGGGGGCUUCCCACUUGCCUUGGGGGGCAAGGCACCCCCCUGGGCCGCCGCCCCCCACCCUAGAUGGGUUUGGCCNNNNNNNNNNGGGGGGGGAGGGAGGGCAGCAACAUCUCAGCCUUGGGCGCCUCCCUCCUCCCCUGCAACACCUCUCUCUCUCGUAUAAGCUCGGCGAAGCCCUGCCGACAUCCCGCUGCAUCCACCACCACGCCGUCGUGCUGCUGGAUCUCCAUCAACCUCUCCUUUCCCCUUGCUGGAUCAAGAAGGAGGAGACGUCGCUGCACCGUACGUGUGUUGAACGCGGAGGUGCCGUCCGUUCGGCACUCGGUCAUCGGUGAUUUGGAUCACGGCGAGUACGACUCCGUCAUCCACGUUCAUUGGAACGCUUCCGCUCGCGAUCUACAAGGGUAUGUAGAUGCACUCCUUUCCCCUCGUUGCUAGUAUACUCCAUAGAUGCAUCUUGGUGAGCGUAGGAAAAUUUUAAAUUAUGCUACGAGUUCCAACAGUGGCAUCAUGAGCCAGGCCUAUGCGUAGUUACUAUGCACGAGUAGAACACAAAGCAGUUGUGGGCAUUGAGUUUGCCAAUUCUUCUUGCCGCUACUAGUCUUUUCUUGUUUCGGCGGUAUUGUAGGAUGAAGCGGCCCGGACCGACCUUACACGUACGCUUACGUGAGACAGGUUCCACCGAUUGACAUGCACUAGUUGCAUAAGGUGGCUAGCAGGUGUCUGUCUCUCCUACUUUAGUCGGAACGGAUUCGAUGAAAAGGGUCCUUAUGAAGGGUAAAUAGAAAUUGGCAAAUCACGUUGUGGUCAUACGUAGGUAAGAAACGUUCUUGCUAGAAACCUACAAACCACGUAAAAACUUGCAACAACAAUUAGAGGACGUCUAACUUGUUUUUGCAGCAUGUGUGAUGUGAUAUGGCCAGAAGAUGUGAUGAAUGAUAUAUGUGAUGUAUGAGAUUGAUCAUAUUCUUGUAAUAGGAAUCACGACUUGCAUGUCGAUGAGUAUGACAACCGGCAGGAGCCAUAGGAGUUGUCUUUAUUAUUUUGUAUGACCUGCGUGUCAUUGAAUAACGCCAUGUAAAUUACUUUACUUUGUUGCUAAACGCGUUAGCCAUAGAAGUAGAAGUAAUCGUUGGCGUGACGACUUCAUGAAGACACAAUGAUGGAGAUCAUGAUGAUGGAGAUCAUGGUGUCAUGCCGGUGACGAAGAUGAUCAUGGUGCCCCGAAGAUGGAGAUCGAAGGAGCAUAAUGAUAUUGGCCAUAUCAUGUCACUAUUUGAUUGCAUGUGAUGUUUAUCAUGUUUUUGCAUCUUAUUUGCUUAGAACGACGGUAGUAAGUAAGAUGAUCCCUUAUAAUAAUUUCAAGAAAGUGUUCACCCUAACUAUGCACCGUUGUGAAGGUUCGUUGUUUCGAAGCACCACGUGAUGAUCGGGUGUGAUAGAUUCUAACGUUCGAAUACAACGGGUGUUGACGAGCCUAGCAUGUACAGACAUGGCCUCGGAACACACGCAAUACACUUAGGUUGACUUGACGAGCCUAGCAUGUACAGACAUGGCCUCGGAACACGGAGGACCGAAAGGUCGAGCAUGAGUCGUAUAGAAGAUACGAUCAACAUGGAGAUGUUCACCGAUCUUGACUAGUCCGUCUCACGUGAUGAUCGGACACGGCCUAGUUAAACUCGGAUCAUGUUUCACUUAGAUGACUAGAGGGAUGUCUAUCUGAGUGGGAGUUCAUUGAAUAAUUUGAUUAUAUGAACUUAAUUAUCAUGAACUUAGUCUAAAAUCUUUACACUAUGUCUUGUAGAUCAAAUGGCCAACGUUGUCCUCAAUUUCAACGCGUUCCUAGAGAAAACCAAGCUGAAAGAUGAUGGCAGCAACUAUACGGACUGGGUCCAGAACCUGAGGAUCAUCCUCAUAGUAGCCAAGAAAGAUUAUGUCUUAGAAGCACCGCUAGGUGACGCACCAAUCCCACAGAACCAAGACGUUAUGAACGCUUGGCAGCAGCGUGCUGAUGAUUACUCCCUCGUUCAGUGCGGCAUGCUUUACAGCCUAGAACCGGGUCUCCAAAAGCAUUUUGAGAAACAUGGAGCAUAUGAGAUGUUCGAGGAGCUGAAAUUGGUUUUCCAAGCUCAUGCCCGGGUCGAGAGAUAUGAAGUCUCCGACAAGUUCUUCAGCUGUAAAAUGGAGGAAAAUAGUUCUGUAAGUGAGCACAUACUCAGAAUGUCUGGGUUGCACAACCGCUUGACUCAGCUGGGAGUUAAUCUCCCGGAUGACGCGGUCAUUGACAGAAUCCUUCAGUCGCUUCCACCAAGCUUCAAGAGCUUUGUGAUGAACUACAAUAUGCAGGGGAUGGAAAAGACCAUUCCUGAGGUAUAUUCGAUGCUGAAAUCAGCGGAGGUGGAAAUCAGAAAAGAACAUCAAGUGUUGAUGGUGAAUAAAACCACUAAGUUCAAGAAGGGCAAGGGUAAGAAGAACUUCAAGAAGGACGGCAAGGGAGUUGCCGCGCCCGAUAAACCAGUUACCGGGAAGAAGCCAAGGAAUGGACCCAAGCCCGAGACUGAGUGCUUUUAUUGCAAGGGAAGUGGUCACUGGAAGCGGAACUGCCCCAAAUACUUAGCGGAAAAGAAGGCCGGCAACACCAAAGGUAUAUGUGAUAUACAUGUAAUUGAUGUGUACCUUACCAGUACUCGUAGUAGCUCCUGGGUAUUUGAUACCGGUGCAGUUGCUCACAUUUGUAACUCAAAACAGGAACUACGGAAUAAACGGAGACUGGCGAAGGACGAGGUGACGAUGCGCGUCGGGAAUGGUUCCAAGGUCGAUGUGAUUGCCGUCGGCACGCUACCUCUGCAUCUACCCACGGGAUUAGUUUUGAACCUCAAUAAUUGUUAUUUAGUGCCAGCUUUGAGCAUGAACAUUGUAUCUGGAUCUCGUUUAAUUCGAGAUGGCCACUCAUUUAAAUCCGAGAAUAAUGGUUGUUCUAUUUAUUUGAGAGAUAUGUUUUAUGGUCAUGCCCCGCUGGUCAAUGGUUUAUUUUUGAUGAAUCUCGAACGUGAUGUUACACAUGUUCAUAGUGUGAAUACCAAAAGAUGUAAAGUUGAUAACGAUAGUCCCACAUACUUGUGGCACUGCCGCCUUGGUCACAUUGGUGUCAAGCACAUGAAGAAGCUCCAUGCAGAUGGACUUUUGGAGUCUCUUGAUUACGAAUCAUUUGACACGUGCGAACCAUGCCUCAUGGGUAAGAUGACCAAGACUCCGUUCUCCGGAACAAUGGAGCGAGCAACCAACUUAUUGGAAAUCAUACAUACCGAUGUGUGCGGUCCAAUGAGUGUUGAGGCUCGCGGAGGAUACCGUUAUGUUCUCACUCUCACUGAUGACUUAAGUAGAUAUGGGUAUGUCUACCUAAUGAAACACAAGUCUGAAACCUUUGAAAAGUUCAAGGAAUUUCAGAGUGAGGUUGAGAAUCAACGUGACAGGAGAAUAAAAUUCUUACGAUCAGAUCGUGGUGGAGAAUAUUUAAGUCACGAGUUUGGUGCACACUUAAGGAAAUGUGGAAUAGUUUCACAACUCACGCCGCCUGGAACACCUCAGAGAAACGGUGUGUCCGAACGUCGUAAUCGCACUCUAUUGGAUAUGGUGCGAUCUAUGAUGUCUCUUACCGAUUUACCGCUCUCAUUUUGGGGCUAUGCUUUAGAGACUGCCGCAUUCACUUUAAAUAGGGGUCCGUCAAAAUCCGUUGAGACGACACCGUAUGAAUUAUGGUUUGGGAAGAAACCUAAGCUGUCGUUUCUAAAAGUUUGGGGAUGCGAUGCUUAUGUCAAGAAACUUCAACCUGAAAAGCUCGAACCCAAGUCGGAAAAAUGCGUCUUCAUAGGAUACCCCAAGGAAACUAUUGGGUAUACCUUCUACCUCAGAUCCGAAGGCAAGAUCUUCGUUGCCAAGAACGGGUCCUUUCUAGAGAAGGAGUUUCUCUCGAAAGAAUUGAGUGGGAGGAAAGUGGAACUUGAUGAGGUGAUAGUCACCCCUUCCGAACCGGAAAGUAGCGCAGCGCGGGAAGAUGUUCCUGUGGUGCCUACACCGACUGGGGAGGAAGUUAAUGAUGAUGAUCAUGAAGCUUCGGAUCAAGUUGCUACUGAACUUCGUAGGUCCACAAGGACAUGUUCCGCACCAGAGUGGUACGGCAACCCUGUCCUGGAAAUCAUGUUGUUAGACAACGGUGAACCUUCGAACUAUGAAGAAGCGAUGGCAGGCCCGGAUUCCGACAAAUGGCUAGAGGCCAUGAAAUCCGAGAUAGGAUCCAUGUAUGAAAACGAAGUAUGGACUUUGACUGACUUGCCCGAUGAUCGGCGAGCCAUAGAAAACAAAUGGAUCUUUAAGAAGAAGACAGACGCGGAUGGUAAUGUGACCAUCUAUAAGGCUCGACUUGUCGCUAAGGGUUAUCGACAAGUUCAAGGGGUUGACUACGAUGAGACUUUCUCACCCGUAGCGAAGCUGAAGUCCGUCCGAAUCAUGUUAGCAAUUGCCGCAUACUAUGAUUAUGAGAUAUGGCAGAUGGACGUCAAAACGGCAUUCCUUAACGGCUUCCUUAAGGAAGAGUUGUAUAUGAUGCAGCCGGAAGGUUUUGUCGAUCCUAAGAAUGGUAACAAAGUAUGCAAGCUCCAGCGCUCAAUCUAUGGGCUGGUGCAAGCAUCUCGGAGUUGGAACAUUCGUUUUGAUGAGAUGAUCAAAGCGUUUGGGUUUACACAGACUUAUGGAGAAGCCUGUGUUUACAAGAAAGUGAGUGGGAGCUCUGUAGCAUUUCUCAUUUUAUAUGUGGAUGACAUACUAUUGAUGGGAAAUGAUAUAGAAUUCUUGGAAAGUAUAAAGGCCUAUUUGAAUAAGUGUUUUUCAAUGAAGGACCUUGGAGAAGCUGCUUAUAUAUUAGGCAUCAAGAUCUAUAGAGAUAGAUCGAGACGCCUCAUUGGUCUUUCACAGAGUACAUACCUUGACAAGAUAUUGAAGAAGUUCAAUAUGGAUCAGUCCAAGAAGGGGUUCUUGCCUGUAUUGCAAGGUGUGCAAUUGAGCACGGCUCAAUGCCCGACCACGGCAGAAGAUAGAGAAAAGAUGAGUGUCAUCCCCUAUGCCUCGGCCAUAGGGUCUAUUAUGUAUGCCAUGCUGUGUACCAGACCUGAUGUAAACCUUGCCGUAAGUUUGGUAGGAAGGUACCAAAGUAAUCCCGGCAUGGAACACCGGACAGCGGUCAAGAAUAUCCUGAAGUACCUGAAGAGGACUAAGGAUAUGUUUCUCUUUUAUGGAGGUGACAAAGAGCUCGUCGUAAAGGGUUACAUCGACGCUAGCUUCGACACAGAUCUGGAUGACUCGAAGUCACAAACCGGAUACGUGUAUAUUUUGAAUGGAGGAGCAGUAAGCUGGUGCAGUUGCAAGCAAAGCGUCGUGGCGGGAUCUACAUGUGAAGCGGAGUACAUGGCACCCUCGGAGGCAGCAUAGGAAGCAGUCUGGAUGAAGGAGUUCAUUACCGACCUAGGGGUGAUUCCCAAUGCGUCGGGCCUGAUGACUCUCUUCUGUGACAACACUGGAGCUAUUGCCCUUGCGAAGGAGCCCAGGUUUCACAGGAAGACCAGGCAUAUCAAGCGUCGCUUCAACUCCAUUCGUGAAAGUGUUCAAAAUGGAGACAUAGAUAUUUGUAAAGUACAUACGGACCUGAAUGUAGCAGGUCCGUUGACUAAACCUCUCCCUAGAGCAAAACAUGAUCAACACCAGGACGCAAUGGGUGUUCGAUUCAUCACAAUGUAACUAGAUUAUUGACUCUAGUGCAAGUGGGAGACUGUUGGAAAUAUGCCCUAGAGGCAAUAAUAAAUGGUUAUUAUUAUAUUUCUUUGUUCAUGAUAAUCGUCUAUUGUUCAUGCUAUAAUUGUAUUGUCCGGAAAUCGUAAUACAUGUGUGAAUGCAUAGACCACAACGUGUCCCUAGUAAGCCUCUAGUUGACUAGCUCGUUGAUCAACAGAUAGUCAUGGUUUCCUGACUAUGGACAUUGGAUGUCAUUGAUAACGGGAUCACAUCAUUAGGAGAAUGAUGUGAUGGACAAGACCCAAUCCUAAGCAUAGCAUAAAAGAUCGUGUAGUUUCGUUUGCUAGUGCUUUUCCAAUGUCAAGUAUCUUUUCCUUAGACCAUGAGAUCGUGCAACUCCCGGAUACCGUAGGAGUGCUUUGGGUGUGCCAAACGUCACAACAUAACUGGGUGACUAUAAAGGUGCACUACGGGUAUCUCCGAAAGUGUCUGUUGGGUUGGCACGGAUCGAGACUGGGAUUUGUCACUCCGUGUGACGGAGAGGUAUCUCCGGGCCCACUCGGUAAUGCAUCAUCAUAAUGAGCUCAAUGUGACUAAGGCGUUAGUCACAGGAUCAUGCAUUGCGGUACGAGUAAAGAGACUUGCCGGUAACGAGAUUGAACAAGGUAUUGGGAUACCGACGAUCGAAUCUCGGGCAAGGAACAUACCGAUUGACAAAGGGAAUUGCAUACGGGAUUGAUUGAAUCCUCGACACCGUGGUUCAUCCGAUGAGAUCAUCGUGGAACAUGUGGGAGCCAACAUGGGUAUCCAGAUCCCGCUGUUGGUUAUUGACCGGAGAGGCGUCUCGGUCAUGUCUGCAUGUCUCCCGAACCCGUAGGGUCUACACACUUAAGGUUCGGUGACGCUAGGGUUGUAGAGAUAUGUGUAUGCGGAAACCCGAAAGUUGUUCGGAGUCCCGGAUGAGAUCCCGGACGUCACGAGAGGUUCCGGAAUGGUCCGGAGGUGAAGAAUUAUAUAUAGGAAGUCAAGUUUCGGCCACCGGGAAAGUUUCGGGGGUUACCGGUAUUGUACCGGGACCACCGGAAGGGUCCCGGGGGUCCACCGGGUGGGGCCACCUAUCCCGGAGGGCCCCGUGGGCUGAAGUGGGAAGGGAACCAGCCCUAGUGGUCUGGGCGCCCCCCAUGGGCCUUCCCCCCAUGCGCCUAGGGUUGGGAACCCUAGGGUGGGGGGCUUCCCACUUGCCUUGGGGGGCAAGGCACCCCCCUGGGCCGCCGCCCCCCACCCUAGAUGGGUUUGGCCAGCGCCCCCCCUCCCAAGGGGGCCUAUAUAAAGGGGGGGGAGGGAGGGCAGCAACAUCUCAGCCUUGGGCGCCUCCCUCCUCCCCUGCAACACCUCUCUCUCUCGUAUAAGCUCGGCGAAGCCCUGCCGACAUCCCGCUGCAUCCACCACCACGCCGUCGUGCUGCUGGAUCUCCAUCAACCUCUCCUUUCCCCUUGCUGGAUCAAGAAGGAGGAGACGUCGCUGCACCGUACGUGUGUUGAACGCGGAGGUGCCGUCCGUUCGGCACUCGGUCAUCGGUGAUUUGGAUCACGGCGAGUACGACUCCGUCAUCCACGUUCAUUGGAACGCUUCCGCUCGCGAUCUACAAGGGUAUGUAGAUGCACUCCUUUCCCCUCGUUGCUAGUAUACUCCAUAGAUGCAUCUUGGUGAGCGUAGGAAAAUUUUAAAUUAUGCUACGAGUUCCAACAAUUCUGGCAUUCUGCAGUUCAGUCCACAGAUACAACCCUUCCAUUUGAUACCAAUGCAUACUUAGUUUAGAUCUGAUGCUUGCGAGUACUUUGAAUGAGUACUCACGGUUGCUUUGCUACCCCUUUUCCCCCUUCCUUCUUCUUUCCGGUUGAUGCAACCAGAUGGUGGAUCCUUGGAGCCAGAUGCCACCGCCAAUGGAUACUACUACACGGAGGCCGCCAAAGACCAGGAGUAGUUAGGAGGUCCCAGGUAGGAGGCCUUGCCUCUUCGAUUGUUGCUUCUUUUGUGCUUGCCUUCUUAAGGCAGUCUUGGCUAACUUAUGUCUGUACUCAGAUAUUGUUGCUUCCGCUGACUCUUGUGUAUCGAGCUUGUAUUCGAGCCCUCGAGGCCCCUGGCUUGUAAUAUGAAGCUUGUAUUGUUUUAUUUGUGUCUAGAGUUGUGUUGUCAUAUCUUCCCGUGAGUCCCUGAUCUUGAUCGUACACAUUUGCGUGUAUGAUUAGUGUACGGUCGAAUUGGGGGCGUCACACUUCACAAACAAUUGAGGUCUCAAAUUGGAAUUUGGUCACCCAAUUUUGACCGGCUGAACAAUUUCUCAAAAUUCUCUCCUUCAAUUUUUUGUAUGAUACGCUAUGCUUCCUAAUUUUUAAAACUUCACAAUUAAUUGAAACUUCAAUUUAGAAAUGGGUCACUCGAUUUUGACCGGGUGAACAAUUUCUCAAGAAGCUCUCCCAUUUAAUUAUUUUAAUUCUCUAUGUUUCCCAAUUUUAAAGCUCUUUCAUUCGAUUGAGGUAUUCAUUUUUGGAUUUGUUUAUGAUUUUGAUCGGGCCAACGAAUUUUCAAAUUAAUCAGCAGCAACCGGCCUAUAAAAACAUAUCAACCCCGCGCAGACUCCCAUCACCUAGAAAAAAGCGCCACCUUGUGAUACUAUAGCACGAAUAUAGUACAUGCAACCACCGAUGCAAAAAAAAUCCUGCAUAAAUAUGUGUUAAUUAGCAAAUAACAUAGAAUCACACUACAAAAGGCCCACCAAAUAACCACAUUACAAAUAAACAUAAAACACACUUCAUCAUCUCCCCCAUCGACCAAACUAAAUAUUCCCUCGGUGUCAAACUAUAAGGGGUAUUAUUUUAUGGAAAGUAAAAUUUAUUUAACUUUGAACAAGUUUAGAGCCAAAAAUAUCGACAUCCGCAAUAUUAAACAAAAAUAUACGAAAAUUCAUUUCUUGAUGAAUCUAAUAACACCGAUUUGAUAUUAUGAAUUUUGAUUUAUUUCUCUACAAAUUUGAUCAAACUUAAAGAAGUUGAACUUUUCAAAAUAAUAAUACACCAUAUAUUUUGAAAUUCAGUGAGUAAAGAAAUAUAAGAAUCCCAACAACAUCAACGGCGCAGCAAAGCGCGCCCAACCCUUCUAGUAUAAGGAGAUACCCCCUGUGUUACUUAAUAGAAGGUGCAAUUGGUUUUUGAUAAAAUUCCAUAAUGUAAGGUGCAUUUCUUCUAAUUCAUCAAUAAUUCCGUUUUAUCACUGUAGAAAAAAAGGAAAGUAUCUCUCCUGAUUGCGUAAAUCUCUUACUUUUCUAGCCCAAAUGAUUUAGUUACCACUAAUCAAUGAUUUAGCCAAGGUUAAUUUUUUCCUAACUUGUGUAUAAUUAUGUGUCUUGGUCACCAUGCCAAAAAUUAUACACCUUACAUAAAGGAAUGGAGGGAGUAAAUUAUUAGAGGUUGACUAGAGAUGCUCUUAGUAUUUGUUAAUAAGAUGGCAUAUUGGGUAGUUUCAAAGGAACUCCGAGGGCAGAUGGUAUGGUGGGUGAAGUGGAGCAGGUAAAGCAACCAUUUCUCUGCUCCAGUAAAAUGAACUGGAUGUUACUCCAGCUCCAAUCCACUAAGGAAUUGAAGUUGAGGUGUUUGAAACAACUCUAAUGAAAUCAUGGAGUGGAGCAGUCCAAAACCUACCCUCAAUCCGACAAGAACCGACCAGGAGCAUAUCCUAUAUGUGAAGGUCGACCGUGUUUCCGGAUUGGUGGAUCUAGUUUAUUAAAUUGACUCGACGACUAGGGCUCCGGGGAACUAGUCCUUAAAGGCGCGUGCACAAAGACUUCUCCGGUGUAAUCGACGAAGUCAGGCCGGCUCCGACAAGCGGCGCGUGAGCGGCUCAUUCUGGCGGUAGUGGUCGUUUGAUGGUCCAAGAACCUCUAUGUAAUUUUUAUCAUGUUUGGGAUGCUUUGUACAUUUGGUGAACUAUUUUUAAAAAAGACUCCAAAUUCAUAUGACUGCGAUAGACCUUCAUAAUUGUUUGCCCUUAAUGUUUAAAGUAUGGUCGGUAGAAAGGUAGAAACUUAUGUCUACUCGUAUAUUUCCAGUAGCUAGUGCAAAUAGAUGUUGGUUUAUCAAGAUUCCAUGAAAACAUGAUGCAGAUACUGCACUAGGAUCAAUUUAUUUCUUCUAUCACCAAUUCAUCAUGAGCUAGCACACCAUAAAGACUUGGUAAAAAAGUACAAAUACAAAGACACACAUAUGCGCGAGAUCUAUUAAGCAGUGACAUCGAUCUUCAUGCCUUGCUGGCAGUGACCCGGAAGGCUACAGAUGAAGAAUGCUUUGCCUCUGCGGGCGAGCUGGAUGUGGUCAUUUCCGGAGGUGUAGGUCCUCGACGGGCCCGUGACCCUGCAUGAGUUGUAGUCGCCUUCUCCCACCUGCACCACAUUGUGCAUACUCGGGUUGUACUUGAACACUGCGUGCAUUAGUUAACACAAGAAUACAGAUCAGAACACAUUAUAUACAUCAAGAACAACCAAUCACUUGAUCUUUAGAGUUCUCACCAAGCACGUCACCGGACUGGAUGUGCUUGCCACUCUCCCAUCCGGAGACGCCGAAGCUCCAUCCCUUGUUGUCACCAACGGUCCACUCCUUGCCAUGGACGAUGGGGGUUGCGCAGCAAACGACCAGAAGCAGCACCAAAAGGGUGGGUACCAUGGUUGCCCGAGCCAUUGAUGGUGUUGCUCUUGACUUCUUGUUGAUACCGAAGAUCACAAGAAUAGAAAAGUGAAAUAGUGGUCGAUUCCUCGGUAGAAUGGUAGGAACUUAUGUCUACUUGUAUAUUAACAGUAGCUAGUCCAAAUAGAUGUUGGUUUAUCAAGAUUCCAUGAAAACAUGAUGCAUGCACUGCACUAGGAUCAAUUUAUUUCUUCUAUCACCAAUUCAUCAUGACCUAGCACACCAUAAAGACUUGGUAAAAAAGUACAAAAUACAAAGACACGCAUAUGCACGAGAUCUAUUAAGCAGUGACAGCAAUCUUCAUGCCUUGCUGGCAGUGACCCAGAAGGCUGCAGAUGAAGAACGCUUUGCCUCCGUGGGAGAGCUGGAUGUGGUCAUUGCCGGAGGUGUAGGUCCUCGACGGGCCCGAGACCCUGCAUGAGUUGUAGUCGCCUUCUCCCACCUGCACCACAUUGUGCAUACCCGGGUUGUACUUGAACACUGCGUGCAUUAGUUAACACAAGAAUACAUAUCAGAACACAGUAUAUACAUCAAGAACAACCAAUCACUUGAUCUUUAGAGUUCUCACCAAGAAUGUCGCCGGACUGGAUGUGCUUGCCACUCUCCUAUCCGGAGACACCGAAGCACCAUCCCUUGUUGUCACCAACGGCCCACUCCUUGCCAUGGACGAUGGUGGUUGCGCAGCAAACGACCAGAAGCAGCACCAAAAGGGUGGGUACCAUGGUUGCCCGUGCCAUGGAUGGUGUUGCUCUUGACUUCUUGUUUAUUCUGAAGAUCACAAGAAAAAAAGUGAAAUAGUGGUCGAUUCCUGAAGUGAUGGCUUGCGUUCGGUCUCCUUCUCGUAUGAUAUAUAUAGGCGGUCAGCUAAAACUAUUGUUUUAAUGUUCUCAAAUAAUGAAGAUCUUGCCUUAAAUAAGACAAAUCAACAUUUGUGAUAUGCAACAUUAGUUAGUAUAUGCUACCAAAUCCUCCAACUUGUACAAUCUGAUCUUGGAUUAAUUGAAAUGAACGAGGAUGCAUUUAUUUCCUACUUUCAUGAUUUAGUAAAUAUUUAUUUUUCCUGGAUGCAUUAGUAGUAUAUCAGAAAUUGAUAUAUACUAUUACUAGAUGAUAUAAUUGUAAUAAUAACAUUUUAAAAUACAAAAUUAUUUUUUUAUAAGGAGAAGUCCCUAUCUUGACUUUUCAACCAUAGGUGCUAAAGCGAUUGGAGGCCAUGAUUUGCGAUUGUUUAGUCUCAAAUAAUUUGAAAUUGAUAGGAAUAUUUUCAAUAAAUGGAGUUCAAAUGAAUUUCAGAAGUUGGAAAAUUGAAUGCAUUAGGUUCAAAUAAGAAUUUUAGGCUAGGUUAAUUUGGAGCAAUUGCAAAACAAAAGAGCCCCGACUGGUUUACAAAGCAGUAAAACCGACGAGAUUCAGAAGGAUCUAAUUGAGAGGAAAAUUUGUGAGAGUUACCAAGAACUUGUAGCCACUUGGGAUGGAGACGAUGACCUUAAGGGCGCCCUCUGUGAAAACUCCUCAACUACACCUGAUCGACGAAAUUAGCCCUAAACUAACCAUCGUGGCACAAACUGGAAUGACCUACUGAUAACCCUCAAGUAUAGGGGAUCGCGAUUCAAGAGUAGCAUUUCACCCAAAUUUAUUGAUUCAACACAAGGGGAGCCAAAGAAUAUUUAUGAACCUUAGCAGUUGAGUUGUCAAUUCAACCACACCUGGGAGAUUAUAUUUGUGCAACAAAGUGUUUAGUAACAUGGUAGUUUGAUAGUUUUGAUAGUAGCAGUAACAGUAGCAAUAGUAACAGGAACUGUAACAAUAGCAGUUUGUGAUGAUUGUAACAAUAGCAGCAAGAGUAACUUAGCAAAGACCAAUAUGAGAAAAGCAUAGGAAUUGGGUCAGGCGAUGCAUAUUUGUGUUGGUUGACACUCAUCAUAUAGCAGUCACUACCUAGAGUGAUACACAAUAGCUCCAAUUCAUCAAUGUAAUAUAGGCAUGUAUUCCGUAUAUAGUCAUACACGCUUAUAAUAAGAAAUUGCAUGACAUCUUUUGUCCUACCCUCCCGUGGCAGCGGGGUCCGUAAGGAAACUAAGAGAUAUUAAGGCCUCCUUACAAUAGUGAACCGGAACAAAACAUUAACACAUGGUGAAUACAUGAACUCCUCGAAUUACAGUCAUUCCCAGAGAGUAUCCCAAUUAUUGUCACUUUGGGGUCUAAGGACCAGAACAAUAACAAGAGCAUAUAACUAGCAGAUAGGAUCAGGAACUCAAAUAUAUUCAUGAAAACAUAGAGGGUUCAGAUCUGAAAUCAUGGUAAUCGGGUCUUAGUGACAAGCGUUAAGCAUAUCAAAGUCAUAGAAACAUCAAUCUUGGAACAUAGUGGAACUAGGGAUCAAGCCCUAACAAAUUGAAUCGUUUGCAUGACAAAUCUCAUCCAACUCCAUCAUCGUCCAGCAAUCCUAUGAAGAAAUUACUCAAUCCCAGUGGUGAGCAUCAUGGAAUUGUUGAUGAUGAUGACGAUGACGAAUCCCCCUCUUCGGAGCCCAAAACAAACUCAUCAGCCCUCCGGAUGAAGAACAGGAGGUGUCGGCAGCUCCGUCUCACAAAACAUGAUGAAACUUUCUCUCUGAUUUUUCUCUCCGUGAGACGAUAUUUAUGGAGUUCGAAUUAGGGAAAACGGAGGCUCGUGGAGCCCAUGAACUCACAAGGCGGUCCCUGGGAAGGAUUGGGUGGGCAUGCUCCCUGAGCUCAUGGUUCCUGAGUGGCCCCCUCCAGUAGGUCUCUUCGCCAAUAUUUUUUCAUAUUUUUCAGAAAUAAUCUCCGUAAAAUUUCAGCCCAAUCUGAGAGCUUUUAUUUCCGCACAAAAAUAAGACCAUGACGAUUCUGCUGAAAAAGCGUCAAUCUAGGUUAGUUUCAUUCAAAUCAUGCAAAUUAGAGUCCGAAGCAAUAGUAAAAGUGUUUGGAAAAGUAGAUACGUUUGGGAUGUAUCAACUCACUAAGCUUAUCUCAUUGCUUGUACUCAAGGAAUUUAGUAGAUAAACUAAAAGUGAUAAAGAAAAACUUCUACAAACUCUUUCGUUCUCAGUGUUGUAUAGAUGCUUAACUAGUGUUCAAUUUUUCAGCAAAGAUUAUGAACAAACCACAUGAAUGAUAACACUUAGGUCUCAUUUUUACUCAUGAGAACAACACAACCAACUAAUGAUCAAUAACAAGAUAUCUCGGAUGCCAACAAUUUGUCAAAAUAAUUAAGAUAUACUAUAUCACUAAGCUCCCUAGGAUUGGAGGCCUCACAAUCAAUUGAGGUCUCCAAUUGGAAUUUGGUCACCCAAUUUUGACCGGGUCAACAAUUUCUCAAAAUUCUCUCCUUCAUUUUUUAUAAUACGCUAUGCUUCCUAAUUUUUAAAGCUUCACAAUUAAUUGAAACUUCAAUGUAGAAUUGGGUCACUCGAUUUUGACCGGGUGAACAAUUUCUCAAGGAGCUCUCCCAUUUAAUUAUUUUAAUUCUCUAUGUUUCCCAAUUUUAAAGCUCUUUCAUUCGAUUGAGGUAUUCAAUUCUGGAUUUGUUUAUGAUAUUGAUCGGGCCAAUGAUUUUUCAAAUUAAUCAGCAGCAACCGGCCUAUAAUAACAUAUCAACCCCGCGCAGACUCCCAUCACCUAGAAAAAAGUGCCACCAUGUGAUACCACGAAUAUAGUACAUGCAACCACUGAUGCAAAAACAAUCCCGCAUAAAUAUGUGUUAAUUAGCGGAUAACGUAGAAUCAUACCACAAAAGGCCCACCAAAUAACCACAUUAAAAAUAAACAUAAAACACACUUCAUCAUCUCCCCCAUCGACCAACCUUUCCCCUCCGUUUCAUCUGUCCGAAAAUGCCUAACUUCGGGAAAACUUUUCGGACGUUAUCCCCCUUCGGCGGUACCGGGUAACACCGCGUUAGAACACCCCUAGCGCUGCUUAUUGGCUUGUCAUGCUUAGUAUUGCACUUGUUUGCCCUGUAUUUACUGUGUUUUCCCCCUCUUCUCUCCGGUAGACCCCGAGACCGCUGCUGAUGCCCCUGUGAUCGACUACGUCGACGACGACCCUUCUCCCCUUUCAUCGGAGCUUCCAGGCAAGCCCCCCCUUUGAUCAUCCCGAUAUCGCCCAUUCCAUUCUCUCAUGCUUGCAUUAGAUUUUGCUACUGUUAUUGUUUGCUCCUAUUCUGAUGCAUAGCUUGCUUUUGUACCUGCUAUUGUUACCUACCUGCUUGUCCUAAACUGCUUAGUAUAGGUUGGUUAGAGAUCCAUCAGUGACCCCCACUUGUCCUUGUUGCCCCUGCUUCAUCAACGAUGCCUCGAUCAUCGUGAUCGACGACCAGAGCCUGACACCUCACAUCACAUCACGCCCCUUUAGUUGCUCGACUCUGCAGAGCUACUAUCGAGUGCCGAGGGUGAUCCCUCAUAACGCACUCCUGAUGAUAAUUCUGUAGUGUAGCUAUUCGGUCGUGGUCAACGGGGGUGGUUCCUCUUUCACCAUUCCUGAUACGGCUCUAUCGUGCAACACCUCAAGUGUGAUCCUCGAGGGUGGUCCCUCUUACGUUCACCUUGACGUUUACAUUGAGUGGAAUCCACUGGGGGUGAUUGCUCGGGUUUUCUUCCUUGAUGUUUUGGACACACGGUUACCUUGACUUUACUUGAGACCAUUGUUGAAGUCGGGUCGGCCCUAAGGGGUACCCGCGAGUUGAUGUGAAAGCCGGGCGGGCCCGGAGAGCACCCGUGCGUUGUGACAGUGCCGGAUGGCCGUUUAGCGGUAUCACCCAGGAAGGGGUGAUAGUUCUAGACUUGUCCCGACAGCCAUCACUACUUUAAUUGUUAAUGCACUAACUGGUUUGGGUAUUUGUUCUGAAUUGGCCUUUGUCCUUUACGCACUAACCACCACGCGAGAAUAGUUAUGGGCCUCGACGUCGCAGUAUCAGCCGAAGCUUUGUCAGACGGCCAGUUCAGUAUUGCGGCACGGCUGGGCCGGCACCAUCCUGUAGUGGUGGAGCCUGGACCCGCCCUACAUGUAACGACCCGGAGUGCAACGGGCGAUGGACCCAGACCCCGGAGUGCUUAGGAUGUAGACCGGCGGGGACCUCUCUGCUGAGCCUAGGUAGGGUUGCGACGUGUUGAUCUUCCGAGGCCGGGCAUUGACCCCAGAAAGGUGUGUCCGGCCAGAGUGAUCGAGCGUGUUGGAAAACGUGGUGCACCCCUGCAGGGAAGAUAUAUAUUCGAAUACCGUGUCCACGGUAAUGGACGUUCAGACUUGUAUCCUGAUCUUAUACAACUAGAAAUGGAUACUUGAUAUGUGAUGGAUAUCUGGCCCCGGGAUUGCUUUCUCGUAGGGAGUCGAGGAAGGAUCUCUGGGCGUUAAUGCUACAACAUGUUUGUUAAAUAUAAACUACUAUUCUUUACUCGUCUACAUGCUGCAAGAUGCUUGGAGCUGCUUGAAGAUGCUAGUCUUUGAUAGGCUAGGCCUUCCCCCCUAUUCCGGCAUUCUGUAGUUCAGUCCACAGAUACAACCCUUCCAUUUGAUACCAAUGCAUACUUAGUUUAGAUCUGAUGCUCGUGAGUUCUUUGGAUGUGUACUCACGGUUGCUUUGCUACCCCUUUUCCCCCUUCCUUCUUCUUUCCGGUUGAUGCAACCAGAUGGUGGAUCCUUAGAGCCAGAUGCCACCGCCAAUGGAUACUACUACACGGAGGCCGCCGAAGACCAGGAGUAGUUAGGAGGUCCCAGGUAGGAGGCCUUGCCUCUUCGAUUGUUGCUUCUUUUGUGCUUGCCUUCUUAAGGUAGUGUUGUCUAACUUAUGUCUAUACUCAGAUAUUGUUGCUUCCGCUGACUCUUGUGUAUCGAGCUUGUAUUCGAGCCCUCGAGGCCCCUGGCUUGUAAUAUGAAGCUUGCAUUGUUUUAUUUGUGUCUAGAGUUGUGUUGUGAUAUCUUCCCGUGAGUCCCUGAUCUUGAUCGUACACAUUUGCGUGUAUGAUUAGUGUACGGUCGAAUUGGGGGCGUCACACUUCACAAUCAAUUGAGGUCUCCAAUUGGAAUUUGGUCACCCGAUUUUGACCGGGUCAACAAUUUCUCAAAAUUCUCUCCUUCAAAUUUUUGUAUAAUACACUAUGCUUCCUAAUUUUUAAAACUUCACAAUCAAAUUGAAACUUCAAUUUAGAAAUGGGUCACUCGAUUUUGACCGGGUGAAGAAUUUCUCAAGAAGCUCUCCCAUUUAAUUAUUUUAAUUCUCUAUGUUUCCCAAUUUUAAAGCUCUUUCAUUCGAUUGAGGUAUUCAUUUUUGGAUUUGUUUAUGAUUUUGAUCGGGCCAACGAAUUUUCAAAUUAAUCAGCAGCAACCGGCCUAUAAAAACAUAUCAACCCCGCGCAGACUCCCAUCACCUAGAAAAAAGUGCCACCGUGUGAUACUAUAGCACGAAUAUAGUACAUGCAACCACCGAUGCAAAAAAAAAAUCCGGCAUAAAUAUGUGUUAAUUAUGAGAUAACGUAGAAUCACACCACAAAAGGCCCACCAAAUAACCACAUUACAAAUAAACAUAAAACACACUUCAUCAUCUCCCCCAUCGACCAAACUAAAUAUUCCCUCGGUGUCAAAAUAUAAGGGGUAUUAUUUUAUGGAAAGUAAAAUUUCUUUAACUUUGAACAAGUUUAGAGCCAAAAAUAUCGACAUCCGCAAUAUUAAACAAAAAUAUACGAAAAUUAAUUUCUUGAUGAAUCUAAUAACACCGAUUUGAUAUUAUGAAUUUUGAUUUAUUUAUCUACAAAUUUGAUCAAACUUAAAGAAGUUUAACUUUUCAAAAUAAUAAUACGCCAUAUAUUUUGAAAUUCAGUGAGUAAAGAAAUAUAAGAAUCCCAACAACAUCAACGGCGCAGCAAAGCGCGCCCAACCCUUCUAGUAUAAGGAGAUACCCCCUUUGUUACUUAAUAGAAGGUGCAAUUGGUUUUUGAUAAAAUUCCAUAAUGUAAGGUGCAUUUCUUCUAAUUCAUCAAUAAUUCUGUUUUAUCACUGUAGAAAAAAGGAAAGUAUCUCUCCCGAUUGCGUAAAUCUCUUACUUUUCUAGCCCAAAUGAUUUAGUUACCACUAAUCAAUGAUUUAGACAAGGUUAAUUUUUUCCUAACUUGUGUAUAAUUAUGUGUCUUGGUCACCAUGCCAAAAAUUAUACACCUUACAUAAAGGAAUGGAGGGAGUAAAUUAUUAGAGGUUGACUAGAGAUGCUCUUAGUAUUUGUUAAUAAGAUGGCAUAUUGGGUAGUUUCAAAGGAACUCCGAGGGCAGAUGGUAUGGUGGGUGAAGUGGAGCAGGUAAAGCAACCAUUUCUCUGCUCCAGUAAAAUGAACUAGAUGCUACUCCAGCUCCAAUCCACUAAGGAAUUGAAGUUGAGGUGUUUGAAACAAAUCUAUUGAAAUCAUGAAUUGGAGCAGUCCAAAACCACCCUCAAUCCGACAAGAACCAACCAGGAGCAUAUCCUAUAUGUGAAGGUCGACCGUGUUACUGGAUUGGUGGAUCUAGUUUGUUAAGUUGACUCGACGACUAGGGCUCCGGGGCACUAGUCCUUAAGGGCGCGUGCACGAAGACUUCUCGGGUGUAAUCGACAAGGUCAGGCCGGCUUCGACAACCAGCGCGUGAGCGGCUCAUUCUGGCGGUAGUGGUCGUUUGAUGGUCUAAGAACUUCUAUGUAUUUUUUAUCAUGUUUGGGAUGCUUUGUACAUUUGGUGAACUAUUUUUAAAAAAGACUCCGAAUUCAAUUGACUGUGAUAGACCAUCAUAAUAGUUUGCCCUUUAUGUUUAAAGUAUGGUCGGUAGAAUUGUAGAAACUUAUGUCUACUUGUAUAUUAACAGUAGCUAGUGCAAAUAGAAGUUGGUUUAUCAAGAUUCCAUGAAAACAUGAUGCAGAUACUGCACUAGGAUCAAUUUAUUUCUUCUAUCACCAAUUCAUCAUGAGCUAGCACACCAUAAAGACUUGUAAGAAAGUACAAAUACAAAGACGCACAUAUGCGCCAGAUCUAUUAAGAAGUGAC